rnacentral:tRNA from 2 species
CCUUGGUUAGCUCAGUUGGUAGAGCGCUCCACUGGAAAUGGGGAGGUCCCGGGUUUGAUACCCGGACCAGACA